rnacentral:rRNA from 1 species
AUACGUAGGGUGCGAGCGUUGUCCGGAAUUACUGGGCGUAAAGAGCUCGUAGGUGGUUUGUCGCGUCGUCUGUGAAAUUCCGGGGCUUAACUCCGGGCGUGCAGGCGAUACGGGCAUAACUUGAGUACUGUAGGGGAGACUGGAAUUCCUGGUGUAGCGGAGAAAUGCGCAGAUAUCAGGAGGAACACCGGUGGCGAAGGCGGGUCUCUGGGCAGUAACUGACGCUGAGGAGCGAAAGCAUGGGUAGCGAACAGGAUUAGAUACCCUGGUAGUCCAUGCCGUAAACGGUGGGCGCUAGGUGUAGGGGUCUUCCACGACUUCUGUGCCGUAGCUAACGCAUUAAGCGCCCCGCCUGGGGAGUACGGCCGCAAGGCUAAAACUCAAAUGAAUGGACGGGG